AUGCCCUUCUUCGUGACGAAAUGUUCGACGAGUGAGGAUUAGUGCGAUAGAUGGGUGUAAUAUUUUUGUGGCUAUGAGCGACUAAAAGUUGACGAAAGACUCCUUGAGAAAUCAUGUCACAUUUGGAGCCCUCUGCUCAUCGCGUUCCUCGACUGCAAGAAACACAGUCAGUGUGCUGCACUGUGAAGACACUUUGCAGAAACUGUGAUGCGCCAUAAAGUCACAAUACCCAGGAAUGCUGUCAAACAGAAGCAACCUGUUGCACGAUAAUGUCUGUCCUAACACUACCAUUUGGAUGACACCUAUGCUGCAGUGAUUUUAUUGGGAAACAUUGUAACAUCCUACGUACAGUCCAGAUCUUUCACUCUUUGGCAACCUGAAGAACGACACGAGUGGACAUCGGUUGAAGUCGGACGGGGAAGUGCAGUUGUGGAUCCAUCAGCGGGCAACUGUAUUCUAUGGAACAGGAAUUGAUUGUCUCAUCUUGUAGUAGAAUAAAUUUUUUAAUGUGCA